GCCCGCGUGGCACAAUUGGUCAGCGCGUGAGACUUUUAUGUAAGGUAUCUCAAGGUUGAGAGUUCGAGCCUCUCCGCGGGCG
rfam:Exophiala mesophila strain CBS 40295 unplaced genomic scaffold supercont1.4, whole genome shotgun sequence.